rnacentral:lncRNA from 1 species
UCGACAUUACUAUACAAAACUAAAAAGUGAAAGACGACAUAAAAAUAAAAAAUAUAAAAAACAGACUCGAAACAUAAAAAGAAAAGAAAAUCUUCUUUUAAUCCACUCCUGAAUGAUCGAUCCUGCCUAGAUGAUCACGGGGUGUCUGUCAUGCUCAAACCCCGGUAAGUAGAUCCACACCUGUAUGAAAAAAAACUUCAAACCAACACUAGGUGAGACAAUAACACUCCUUAUUGGACACAUGCAAGACAUAAUUGAGGCUAUUUCUGCAAAAUGACUUAUUUGGCCAAAAGGUGGCUAGAAGUGCAAAAUGUGGCUAUGACCCCGCAAAGCCAAGAACCUAAGAUUUACUAGGAAGACCGGACUCUAUGUGGGUUCCCUACGUAUCACGCCUCGAAAGACGAAAAACAGGUAUGCGUAGUUCGGACAGAUUGGAUACGAGAGAGAAUAAUAAAAAACAACUGACAUAUAGAAAACAUAUUUUUUUCUUUUUUUUUUCGAAAAAUGAUGAAACAUAUAAAAUCUUUUUUGAUUUUUGAAAAAUGAUAAAAAGUGCAAAAUCUUUUUUGAAGUUUCCAUGUUUUUUUUCUUAAUAAAAUGUAACAAAAUUAUAAUUGGGCCUUACUCGCUUCAUCCUCACACUUCAGCUUCUCUUUUUUUCUCUUUUUUUUCCUCUUGUUUUUCAUUCACUCUCAAUUAUUAUUGGUCCGCCAAAUGACCCUUUUACCCUUGAAGAAAUGCAACAUGUAGCACAUAGGAUGCAUCAAGAUGGUCUGUUAUUUUGGGUACACCUGUCCUAGACGGACCCAACCCCUGUGUUGAGUCCCCUAAGUCAAAUGCACAUGAUGCAAACAAGAGUUCCUAGUAGGGAUCCGGCGUGAAGCUGUGUUUUUCUAGGUUUAAAUCUUGGGGUUUAUUGUUCUAGACCUGGCUUACCCGAGCGGACAGCUCGAGCCGAGGGGGGAGGGCUGCGUACCGGUAACCAAAAGAUCAUCCGGCUUUGCAACUUGUUCGAACCUCGUUCUAUUUGGGAUAUGACACUAACAGAAGAAGUCACGACCAGCGUGCACUCCUCGGGGGAGAGAAGAGAGGGGUUUCGUAGCAGUUUAUAUAUACAGUUCAGAUAGUAUCAAAGCGGUAAAAAGCAAUAUUUAGCACAUUAGGCCCAAACAUGUCAUAAAAUCAGACAAUAAAUAAAGCCAAACAUAACAAUUCAUCUAAGCUCGAAUUCUUGAACCCUGAACCAGAGAUUCUGGGUUAGAUCCCCAGCAGAGUUGCCAGAGCUGUCACACCUCCUUUUUACCUACACCCCUGGGAGGGUGUAUAUAGGGAGUUUUUCCAAUUAAAGGACAAUCAAAAUGGGAUUUAUUAUUAAAAGAUUCAGAGUCGCCACUUGGGAGAUUUAUGGUAUCCCAAGUCACCGGUUGAAUCCCGAAUCGAGGAAAAGCUUGACUCUGUUUAACAGUCCGCGAACCAGAAAUCCGAGUAAGGAAUUAUGUUAACACGGGAGAAGGUGUUAGACAUUCCCGAGUUCUGUGGUGCUAGCACGGUUGCUUAACUGUUAUAUUUGGCUUAAUUAUCUGAUUUUAAACAAUUCUAAACCCAUGGUUCAAUUUUAACUUAUCAACCACUUUUAUUCAUUUUUAGGAAGAUUGCAACGUCAUUAAAACACGUCUUGAACCACGUCACAUAAAUGCACCCGCGGUCCACAACACAUUUUAUCUAACGUUGUUGAGAUUUGGAUUUGGGUCACAUAAAUGCGCACCCGAGUUUAGGAAGGUAAAUUAUUAAAAUAACACGCCUAAAGCAAUUACGCAUUUGCAACUUUGCGAGGGCCAUGGAAAAUACGCUAAAUGGCACGUCUCGAAUUCUAAAGAUUAAAAUCAAUUAAGUGAGGGCCAUAAGUUUUGAGCUUUUAUUUGGCAUGGCACGCCUCACUUUAUUUUAAAAGAUUUGUACUCAAUUAAAGCAACCUAUGGAUGUUCAUGAAUUAUUUCUUAAACUAUUUUGAGAUUAUGGCAAGGUUGAGAGUUAUAGAUAUAGUGUUGUUGGAAGUCAAAAAUAUUUUAGCUAUUUGGAGUAUUAGCAAGCUAUUCACAUUUGGAGAUGUUUACAACUUACUAUUCAUAUUAUUGAAACAAUUAGUAAAGUAAUAUAACGGUUAUAUCUAGUGUUCUACUCUAUUCCAGACCUCAAAGAUUAACAUAAACUUGUCGAAACUCAUUAAGGAAAUCCUCUUUCAAACAAAUUACAUUUCCAUUUUGUAACACAACAUAUGGUAGUAAAUUACGGAGCAUACAAGUAUAUAUAUAUAUAUUAUAGGCAGUAAGCAUUUAUGACAUAUAAAUCAUAUUUGCUUCUACGGUCAAGGAAUUCACUCUCAAGAAUCAACACUCAUUUGAGCAUUAGAGAAUUAUCCAUUCAACUAAAUAAUACUUAAUGAUUACAGCUAAAUAUAAAUGAGAUAAAAUAGAAAUGGACCUUGAUAAAAUCUUUUUGAUUAAGGAAUCCAACAGCAAAAGUACACUAAGAAAUGCCGACAGCAAAAUGGCACUUCGACAGUGGAAGUCCGACUGAAAUGUUAAUAGCAACAAGAACCUUGACCGGAGAAACCUGUAGUAACCUCGAAUAGAACCUCAACAAACCCAACAACCUCGACGAAUGCUUUCAAGUUUAGCAGGAGCUUGAAAUUUCGAAAUUGAAAUCAACAAUUUGGACCCAUUUUUGAGUCUAAGAGUGCGCUUGAGUUGACAACUUGGACUGAAUUUCAAAGUGACUUAUGGAAAAUGCCAAAUUUCCAUCACUAUUUCGUUUCUUCACUUCCACCUCUAUCUGCUAAAGAAAUCUUUAAGUGAAAGGAAGAGAGAUUUGGCCGUUGCCUUUUGUCUGGGAGGUGGAGUUCGAUCGUUUUCUCCAAAUCAAAGAGAGAUUGAAUUUUUUUGACGGGGUAGGUCAGUCGUUCUCUCUUGGGAGCUCCGGUCCCUUUAGGAUUGAAG